rnacentral:lncRNA from 1 species
UUCUAGUACUUGAAGUCUGAUUCUGCUGUCUCCUGUUACUGAAGACUCUCAUUCAUGGUGCCUGGAUUGCUUAAACAUUUAAAACCAAGAUUUGUUUAACAUUCAUUAUCUCAGUGGUGGAAAUAAUCAUCCGAAGUAGACUUUGGUGCUGUCAUUUUCCAGCAUUGUUGGUGAUCUUGAGAGCUCGGCCAGGACAUUCAUAUGCACCAUUGUGGCAGUGGGGAAAGAUGAUGGAAGGAGCAAGAACUUUUGAAUGGGAUUCUGUAUUUAAUUUCUUCCCUUCUAAUCUGAUGAUGAAACGUCUUCAAAAAGAAGAGUAAUUUAACCUCCAACUCUCUGUACAAUCAGGUAAUACUAUUGUACUCAGUUGAGGUGAGAGGCAUGGUGCAUUACCCAGCACAUGGCGGGGCACAGUAAGUGUUUGUUUGGCUUUUUUUCUUUUCUCUCUCUCUCUCUG